rnacentral:misc_RNA from 1 species
GAUGAAGAACGCAGUGAAAUGCGAUAACUAAUGUGAAUUGCAGAAUUCCGUGAAUCAUCGAGUCUUUGAACGCACAUUGCGCCCCCUGGUAUUCCGGGGGGCAUGCCUGUCCGAGCGUCAUUGCUGCCCAUCAAGCACGGCUUGUGUGUUGGGUCCCGUCCCCCUCUCCCGGGGGACGGACCCGAAAGGCAGCGGCGGCACCGCGUCCGGUCCUCGAGCGUAUGGGGCUUUGUCACCCGCUCUUGUAGGCCCGGCCGGCGCUUGCCGACACCCAACCAUUUUUUUCAGGUUGACCUCGGAUCUGGUAGGGAUACCCGCUGAACUUAAGCAUAUCAAUAAGCGGAGGA